GACGGAGGAUGCAAGCGUUAUCCGGAAUUAUUGGGCGUAAAGCGUCCGCAGGUGGCUGUUCAAGUCUGCUGUCAAAGCGCAGAGCUUAACUCUGUACAGGCGGUGGAAACUGAAGAGCUAGAGUAUGGUAGGGGUAGAGGGAAUUCCCGGUGUAGCGGUGAAAUGCGUAGAUAUCGGGAAGAACACCAGUGGCGAAAGCGCUCUACUGGGCCAUAACUGACACUGAGGGACGAAAGCUAGGGGAGCAAACGGG
rnacentral:rRNA from 1 species